UACGAAGGGGGCUAGCGUUGUUCGGAAUUACUGGGCGUAAAGGGCGCGUAGGCGGUGUGUCAAGUCAGGCGUGAAAGCCCGGGGCUCAACCCCGGAACUGCCUUUAAGACUGCAUCGCUUGAAUCCGGGAGAGGUGAGUGGAAUUCCGAGUGUAGAGGUGAAAUUCGUAGAUAUUCGGAAGAACACCAGUGGCGAAGGCGGCUCACUGGCCCGAUACUGACGCUGAGGCACGAAAGCGUGGGGAGCAAACAGG
rnacentral:rRNA from 1 species